rnacentral:pre_miRNA from 1 species
GGAAUUCCUGGCAGAGUGAUUUUUGAGACUACACGACUGAAUCACAUUGCCAGGGAUUUCCA